UUGAAUAAUUUAAAGACUUCAACUUGCAUACUUGGAUGAAUUUAAAGACUUCAACUUGUAUACUUGGAUGAAUUUAAAGACUUCAAAA
rnacentral:pre_miRNA from 1 species